rnacentral:rRNA from 1 species
AUUGAACGCUGGCGGCAGGCCUAACACAUGCAAGUCGAACGGAGCGGGGGACGGGGGAGUAAGGCCUAGGUAUCGGAAUGGGCGUGGGGGAUAACGUCCAGCACCGGAAGCUAAUGCCACCACCUUUCAGAGUAGUCUGGGUCGGAUUAGCUAGUUGGUGGGGUAAAGGCCUACCAAGGCGACGAUCACUAACUGGUCCGAGAGGAUGAUCAGUCACACUGGAACUGAGACACGGUCCAGACUCCUACGGGAGGCAGCAGUGGGGAAUAUUGGACAAUGGGCGAAAGCCUGAUGCAGCCAUGCCGCGUGUGUGAAGAAGGUCUUCGGGUUGUAAAGCACUUUCAGCGGGGAGGCGUUACCAGCAGAAGAAGCACCGGCUAACUCCGUGCCAGCAGCCGCGGUAAUAC